GCGGAGUACGCAUGCUCGCAGGAUGGCUACCGAGCUGUAGGCACCCGGGCGCGCGCUCUGGCUUGAACUCCGCGCCUGAGGCUUGGGCGUUGGUGGCCGUCGGAGGAGCUGCGGUGCGCCGCUGGGCACUGGACUCUCUGUACCGUCUGGCUUUCGGGUUUUGAGGCCUAGAUUUGCACCCCAAACAAGGCCCCAGUCUGCUGCACCUUCUGGGGGCCCCAGGCCUUGGAGGAGAAGCUUUAUGUCUUCAGCCUGGUGAGCUAGGCUGAGCAUGAACUGAGGACAGAGGCCCGCAUGCACUUGGGGAGCCCACAGCCCCGGAGAGCGGCUAAGGAUCCCUGAUCGUGAGUGGGCCUCCUGUUGUGGAUCCCUUUUGAGCAGAUCUCAGCUUUCUGGAGGCAUGAAGAUCGGACCAGUGUGGGGUUCUGCUUCCCCAGGGUCUGGAGGACUGGCCUCUCGGAAGGCCUGAGGAAGGCCCUACCUCAGAGGGUCUCUCUGAGGCCUUAAGACCCUGAGGCCGCACCCCAAGAGCCCAAGUUCAUACUUGGGCCUGCAGGGAAGAACACCCCUCCCAAGGCCUUUUACAUCCGGAUUUGAAUUCCCUGGAUCAGGUGCUGUGAAGGGACUGUAUGGACAGAGCGUGUGCUGCAGGGGAAGCCCAGAAGUCUCUCUGGCUGCCCAGGGCCAAGGCUCAGAGAAUUGGAGGUGGAGAUGACUAUGGGCCAGAAGCCGCCAAAAAUCACAUUCCAGACUAAAAAAGAUCUCAAGAUAACAAACAGGCAGGAAAUAGCAUCAUCACACAAGCUUCUGCCUUCCUUCAUUGUCACCUAAGAUGCCGACAUCAGAGCCCAGGGGUCCUGUGGAAUCCGAAGAACAGAUGGAGUGUGGAUGACGAGGGUCAGUCCUGCCAGCAGGAGAGGACAGGAAGCCAGCUUCCCAGAGCCACAGCUCAUGCCUCCAGGAAAACACAGCAGAGGUCAAGAGCAGGCAAAGGAGCAUCUCACUUCAUUCAAACUGUAGCUUUGACCCCAUCUUGCAACAGGGAACUUGGUCACUAAAUUGGAGAGGCCCCUCCUUGCCUCCAGCUAGGACCUCGAGUCAGUGGAGAUCAGCAGACAGCGGUCCCAUGAAGGCUGACACCUGGCAGCGCUCUGACUCUGACCCUCCAGGGUGAGGGAGGCCGGCCCACGCGAUCUGAAUUUGAUCCCGUGCAGAAAGGAGCACUGUCGCAGGGCAGAGCAGCACCCAGUGUGCGGGCUCUGGCCAUCCUCCCUCCCAGCUUGCUGGAUCAAUCCAGACAGACAGAUUUGCCCUGUGACAGGCUUAUUUAUAAUGCUCCACCCGGUAGAAAUGGGGCCCAGAGAUGUCCUUGAUUCUAUAGCCAUCUGUGUCAGCUGGCCGCCCCUCUGGGAGGAGAGCCGGGGGCUGCAUUCCCGAGGGUCCAAUUUCCCACACAUUCAGUCAUGAAUGUUAGGGUUUUGCCUUAUCACUUUACCCCCUGUAGUAUUAUUUACUGUAUAUGUUUCUGUAAGAUGAUUUACUAUUUGCUUAAUAAAUUUGUCUUAAAAGAA